rnacentral:tRNA from 1 species
GCACGAUUAGUUCAGUGGUAGAACACCAGCUUCCCAAGCUGGUUAUACGGGUUCGAUUCCCGCAUCGUGCUCCA